GGGGAGUACGACCGCAAGGUUGAAACUCAAAGGAAUUGACGGGGGCCCGCACAAGCGGUGGAGCAUGUGGUUUAAUUCGAAGCAACGCGAAGAACCUUACCAGGUCUUGACAUCCUUUGACCACUCUGGAGACAGAGCUUUCCCUUCGGGGACAAAGUGACAGGUGGUGCAUGGUUGUCGUCAGCUCGUGUCGUGAGAUGUUGGGUUAAGUCCCGCAACGAGCGCAACCCUUGAUUUUAGUUGCCAGCAUUUAGUUGGGCACUCUAAAGUGACUGCCGGUGCAAGCCGGAGGAAGGUGGGGAUGACGUCAAAUCAUCAUGCCCCUUAUGACCUGGGCUACACACGUGCUACAAUGGAUAGUACAAAGGGUCGCGAAGCCGCGAGGUGGAGCUAAUCCCAUAAAACUAUUCUCAGUUCGGAUUGUAGGCUGCAACUCGCCUACAUGAAGCCGGAAUCGCUAGUAAUCGUGGAUCAGCAUGCCACGGUGAAUACGUUCCCGGGCCUUGUACACACCGCCCGUCACACCACGAGAGUUUGUAACACCCGAAGUCGGUAGGGUAACCUUUAUGGAGCCAGCCGCCGAAGGUGGGACAGAUAAUUGGGGUGAAGUCGUAACAAGGUAGCCGUAUCGGAAGGUGCGGCUGGAUCACCUCCUUU
rnacentral:rRNA from 1 species